rnacentral:rRNA from 1 species
GUCCUAGCCGUAAACGUUGGGUGCUAGGUGUGGGCGGUCAUCAACCCCGUCCGUGCCGAAGCUAACGCAUUAAGCACCCCGCCUGGGGAGUACGGCCGCAAGGCUAAAACUCAAAGGAAUUGACGGGGCCCCGCACAAUCGGCGGAGCAUGUUGCUUAAUUCGAUGCGACGCGAAGAACCUUACCUGGGCUUGACAUGCAGGGUGAAACCCGUGAAAGCGGGCGCUCUUCGGAGCCUGCACAGGUGGUGCAUGGCUGUCGU